rnacentral:rRNA from 1 species
GACGAACGCUGGCGGCGUGCUUAACACAUGCAAGUCGAACGGAAAGGCCCUGCUUGCAGGGUACUCGAGUGGCGAACGGGUGAGUAACACGUGGGUGAUCUGCCCUGCACUUCGGGAUAAGCCUGGGAAACUGGGUCUAAUACCGGAUAGGAGCCAUUUUUAGUGUGAUGGUUGGAAAGUUUUUUCGGUGUAGGAUGAGCUCGCGGCCUAUCGGCUUGUUGGUGGGGUAAUGGCCUACCAAGGCGGCGACGGGUAGCCGGCCUGAGGGGGUGGACGGCCACACUGAGUCCGACGUGCGGCCCAGGCUCCGAAGGGAGGCAGAAGGGGGGAAGAUUGAACAAUGGGCGCAAGCCUGAUGCAGCGAGGCCGCGUGGGGGAUGACGGCCUUCGGGUUGUAAACUCCUUUCGCUAGGGACGAAGCUUUUUGUGACGGUACCUAGAUAAGAAGCACCGGCUAACUACGUG